rnacentral:rRNA from 1 species
AGUAACACGUGAGUGACCUGCCUUUUAGACUGGAACAACUUACCGAAAGGUGAGCUAAUGCCGGAUGAGUUAUAUAAGUGCAUGUUUAUAUAGGAAAAGUUGGGGAGACCUGACGCUGAAAGAUGGACUCGCGUCCCAUUAGCUAGUUGGUAGGGUAAUGGCCUACCAAGGCGACGAUGGGUAGCCGGCCUGAGAGGGUGCCGGCCACACUGGGACUGAGACACGGCCCAGACUCCUACGGGAGGCAGCAG